rnacentral:rRNA from 1 species
CCUGGCGGCCGUAGCGCGGUGGUCCCACCUGACCCAUGCCGAACUCAGAAGUGAAACGCCGUAGCGCCGAUGGUAGUGUGGGGUCUCCCCAUGCGAGAGUAGGGAACUGCCAGGC